GUCAGGCGGGACCACCCGCUGAGUUUAA
rnacentral:rRNA from 1 species